rnacentral:rRNA from 1 species
GGGGAAUAUUGGGCAAUGGGCGAAAGCCUGACCCAGCAACGCCGCGUGAAGGAAGAAGGCCCUCGGGUUGUAAACUUCUUUUAUCAGGGACGAAACAAAUGACGGUACCAGAUGAAUAAGCCACGGCUAACUACGUGCCAGCAGCCGCGGUAAUACGUAGGUGGCAAGCGUUAUCCGGAUUUACUGGGUGUAAAGGGCGUGUAGGCGGGACUGCAAGUCAGAUGUGAAAGUUUACGGCUCAACCGUGAAAUUGCAGUUGAAACUGGUCGUCUUGAGUGCAGUAAAGGUGGGCGGAAUUCGUGGUGUAGCGGUGAAAUGCUUAGAUAUCACGAAGAACUCCAAUUGCGAAGGCAGCUCACUGGAGUGUAACUGACGCUGAUGCUCGAAAGUGUGGGUAUCAAACA